rnacentral:rRNA from 1 species
UACGAAGGGGGCUAGCGUUGCUCGGAAUUACUGGGCGUAAAGCGCACGUAGGCGGCUUUCUAAGUCGGGGGUGAAAUCCUGGAGCUCAACUCCAGAACUGCCUUCGAUACUGGAAAGCUCGAGUCCGGGAGAGGUGAGUGGAACUGCGAGUGUAGAGGUGAAAUUCGUAGAUAUUCGCAAGAACACCAGUGGCGAAGGCGGCUCACUGGCCCGGUACUGACGCUGAGGUGCGAAAGCGUGGGGA